rnacentral:rRNA from 1 species
CAGCAGCCACGGGAAUACAGAGGGUGCGAGCGUUAAUCGGAUUUACUGGGCGUAAAGCGUGCGUAGGCGGCUUUUUAAGUCGGAUGUGAAAUCCCUGAGCUUAACUUAGGAAUUGCAUUCGAUACUGGGAAGAUAGAGUAUGGGAGAGGAUGGUAGAAUUACAGGUGUAGCGGUGAAAUGCGUAGAGAUCUGGAGGAAUACCGAUGGCGAAGGCAGCCAUCUGGCCUAAUACUGACGCUGAGGUACGAAAGCAUGGGGAGCAAACAGGAUUAGAUACCCCGGUAGUCCCUGUCUCUUAUAA